AGCGUCCUUAUCGAGGUUGAGUAUAUUGUCCAAGGAACGAAAAGUGAGGGCAAUGUGCUAACACCCUGAUUACAACUAUUCGAGUCGCUUGUCAACACAAGCGGGUCAAUUUUUGGAAAC